GAACAUUAGACAUUAAUUCUAUUUUGGACAUUCAGCCUAAGGAAAAGGGAGAGGAGAGGAAAAAAAGAGGAACAUUGUGAAUAUCCAGGACACAUCCGGUCCAAAGGAAUAUUUUCACACUGCUGAAACAGCUGUCUGUGUUGGGGGAAUAAAUGCGGUUUUACUUCCUGUGCACUCAGCACGGCUGCAAUCUCUGCCUCAAAAGAUCUCGCUGAAGGUGGAGACCUCGUGACACCGUCCUGCUGAAGAUUUCGUUUCAUGAGGUGCAGCCGCGGGGUGGUGGUGCGGCCAGGUGGAGCUGGGGUCGUCCGCGGAGCAUUUAAAACCCCAUCAAGCUUCCUAUCCCCUAAAGACAGAUUAAGUCAAUCAAAGACAUGAAUGAAUCUUAACUAAUCCUUUUCUUUCAGCUUGUUUACAGCACCGCUCAGAAAAGCAGCAUGGGCCGCUGAUUGAAGCAUUGUGUUGCAAAGUGACGCCCAUCAUCCAUCUCCCCCCGUUUCAUCUGUCCCGACCCUAGAAACAAGAGCAGCUUGAAUACAUGGAGUGCUAAUUGAGAGUCAAGGGGUUACGACCUUUGGAUAGGAGUCCACGUGACUCCACCCAGCUCCCCGGAGAGGGAACCACGGCUUGGAUGAGCUCGGGGUACGGUUUGAAACCGAGGUCACGUGGAGAGUAGAUCCCACCGAGGAGGGGGUAGUGGAGAAGAUAUAGGGUUGGAUCAGGUUGGGUUCAGGGGGAUUUGCAUUUGGCCAGAGGAGCUUUUAUCCCAAGGAAAGCUAAAGGGGGGCUUGGGUGAUGGGACAGCCUCUCAAUGAUCCUUUCAUCUGGAUCUGGAGAAGAGGUUGGAACACAGAGCUGGGUUUAGACAGCAGGCAGGAGUCCCAUGCGGAGA